rnacentral:rRNA from 1 species
GACGAACGCUGGCGGCGUGCUUAACACAUGCAAGUCGAACGAAGAGCGAUGGAAGCUUGCUUCUAUCAAUCUUAGUGGCGAACGGGUGAGAAACGCGUAAUCAACCUGCCCUUCAGAGGGGGACAACAGUUGGAAACGACUGCUAAUACCGCAUACGAUCUAAACUCGGCAUCGAGGAUAGAUGAAAGGUGGCCUCUACAUGUAAGCUAUCACUGAAGGAGGGGAUUGCGUCUGAUUAGCUAGUUGGAGGGGUAACGGCCCACCAAGGCGAUGAUCAGUAGCCGGUCUGAGAGGAUGAACGGCCACAUUGGGACUGAGACACGGCCCAGACUCCUACGGGAGGCAGCAGUGGGGAAUCUUCCGCAAUGGACGAAAGUCUGACGGAGCAACGCCGCGUGAGUGAUGACGGCCUUCGGGUUGUAAAGCUCUGUUAAUCGGGACGAAAGGCCUUCUUGCGAAUAGUGAGAAGGAUUGACGGUACCGGAAUAGAAAGCCACGGCUAACUACGUG